rnacentral:rRNA from 1 species
CGAAAGCCUGACGGAGCAAUACCGCGUGAGGGAGGAAGGCUCUUGGGUUGUAAACCUCAAAACUUAGGGAAGAAGAAAGUGACGGUACCUAAUAUAAGCAUCGGCUAACUCCGUGCCAGCAGCCGCGGUAAUACGGAGGAUGCAAGCGUUAUCCGGAAUCAUUGGGCGUAAAGCGUCCGUAGGUGGCAUUUCAAGUCUGCUGUCAAAGACCGAAGCUCAACUUCGGGUAGGCGGUGGAAACUGAAAAGCUAGAGUAUAGUAGGGGUAGAGGGAAUUCCUAGUGUAGCGGUGAAAUGCGUAGAGAUUAGGAAGAACACCAGUGGCGAAGGC